UCUCCGUAGGUGAACCUGCGGAGGGAUCAUUACUGAGUGAGGGCCCCCGGCCCGACCUCCAACCCUUUGUGUAUCUCGACCCUGUUGCCUCGGGGGCGACCCGGCCUUCGGGUGUCGGGGCCCCCGGUGGACUACCCAACCCUGCAUCGUUGCGUCUGAGUCGAAAUAUAAAUCAAUCAAAACUUUCAACAACGCGUCUCUUGGUUCUGGCAUCGAUGAAGAACGCAGC
rnacentral:misc_RNA from 1 species